UAUUGGAAGGCGAAGACGGAAAGCAGUGCGGAUCCGCAGCGGACAAGGUCAUCUCAGCCUUUUUAUAAGAAAGCAGGAAGCAGCCAUGGUCUGACUGUUAAUUAAAGCUAGCAUCUAUGUGGUCAGGAAGAUCCGGGCUUCCAUCGCUGAGGGAGAGCAACUGGAAAAGCCCAUCAUAACACCAUGUAGUGCUAUUGCUGAAAUGAGAGCGGGACAAGCGUCGAGAGGAUAUGUCCCAGGUUCUGCACUGACCUGUGCACCUAAUGAAGGUGUCGGUGGAGCAGCAGGCUCUGGGACGUCCUCAGAGACAGCUGUGCAGAAAUGUGGCACCUGACGUUAAAGAUCACGCUGGACACUGGGACUGUGGUUACCUCCAUGGAAAAAUAUCACUGUCUUCUUUGUAUUUUUGCUUUACACACAACAGUAAUACACUAUCAGGGGGGAUUGUAUAUGCAGAACCAUCAACAUACAAAGAUGUUAAUUUUAUCAAAGCAAAAAUUGAACACUUAUGUAGAACAUUAUUCUACUGCUUUCUAGUGUCCAGGCUGUACUCAGUGAUCCACGUCCAGCUCCUAAUGAAACACUUUUAGGCCUUUUUCACAGCAGACAUUUUGACUGACCAACUAAUCGCAUUAAUGAUGACUCUUUCCCAUUCAGGUUUGCUGGGGAGCUACACACAAUACCAUAGACACCUGAAUGUAAUCGAGACGUUUGUUUUUAAUGAAAUGUUGGUUAGUCAACAUGUUAUCUGUGAGAAAGGCCUAUAUUUAUGAACAGCAGUGUUUGAAGGCCGACUCAUCAACCUCUGUCCAGGGGCUGAGCAGGUCUGAUGUUUCUGCUUCUGUAUCAAUAAAAAAAACAAA